rnacentral:lncRNA from 1 species
GAUUUGGGUGGAUGGAUAGGAGGGCUUCCGACCUGCGUUAGGCGGGUCAGUUAAUCUUCAGUAACUCCUUGAUGCGUUUGAUAGUCCUCCCAACUUAAGCCUUCCUUACUGCCUCCAGGAGAUACAGUCUUCUGUUCUUUUUGUCAUAGUUGUUUAUUUUUCAUGAAUCGCUGUUUUUGAGCAUAGGGCACUUACCUCUUUCUGUGUCCCCAGCCCUACCACAGUGCCAGGCUCUCAAUAUGCUCGAUAAAUAUUAGGCGAUUGAUUUGUAAAUCGUGUAUCAUUUUCAUGUAUCUAAUACUUUUUUAAAAAUUGAUUAAAGCCCAUAAGCCCAUAUUUUAUUCCAGAUGUCCUUAGUUUUCGACCUGGUAUUCUUUUCCAUUCCAGGAUCCUGUCCGGAGUACAUCACCAUGUCUUCCAGGCUCCUCUGGACCGUGACCGUUUCUCAAACUUUCCUUGUUUUUGAUAACCUUAAUAGUUUUGAAGCGACUUAUUGGUCAUUUGGUCAAAUGUCCUUCAAUUGGGUUUUGCCUGUAUUUUUCUCAUGCAUUAACUGAGGUUAUGGGUUUUUCUUGAGUUAAGAGGUAAGGUAAAGUGAUCUUCUCAUCACAUCACAUCAAGGGUAUAUACUAUCAACAUGACUUAUUACUGUUGAUGCUAACCUUUAUCACCAUUAUUACAGUGUCAUACAGAAAAGUUUUAUAGUUCUACAAAGAUCCCCUUUGUUUCAUCUAGUAAGCCCUUCCACCUCCCUAUGUAGGGUUUGUCAGGUUUCUCCACUGUGAAGUUACUGUUUUUCUUUUCCUCUCCAUACUAUACUAUUUGGAAGGACAUCUCUCUGUGCAGCCCAAACUAUAGGAAUGGGAAAUUGUUAUACUCCACCUUUAUGAGGACAGAAUAUCUUCAUGAAUUAUUUGGAAUUCUUCUGCAUGGGAGAUUUGUCUGUACUGCAUUUAUUUAUGUAUUCAAUCAUUUAUGUCAGUAUGGACUCAUGGAUAUUUAUUUUACAUUUUGGGUUAUAAUCCAAUACUACUUUAUUUUGUUGUUCAUAUUGGUUCCAGCUUUGGCUAUUGAGAUUUCCUUUAGUUGGCAUUUGUGUCUUUUUGACAAACCCUCCUCGUUUUAUGUUUAUUGAUUUUUUUUCUUGAGCAUUUUCUUAAUUUCUAUAAGUUGCUCCAGGCUCAUCUUGUAUAUUCCCUGCCCCAAUCCUAGAAUCAGCUGCUUCCCCAAAAAGCCAAGGGUACUUUUAAUGGAAAAUGAUAUUAGAAAUCAAGAUUUGGACAUUUGGGAUGUUGUUGCUUCUAGACACUCUCAGCUGACAGAGCAAGGAAAUAUUUGUGGAUAUGCUAACCUGACUAAAUACGCAUAUCUGCUCCAUACCUACCUAACAUCUAUCUUCUCAAGAACUCUGCCAGGGAAGGAGUAGUUUCUGUGUUUCAUAAACAGACUGAGACUCAAAGAGGCUAAGUAAACUACCUGAAGCCAUAUAUAGCAACACACAAUGACGGAUAAAACACUAGAUCUGAAUAACAAAGGAUGCAUACUUAAGCAAACUAAGGCAUAUAUAGUUAUCACUAAAUGCUCAACCUGGAAAGAAUACUGGAUUGCAGUCUGCUUUUUCUGUAAAGACAAUAGUAUUAUAAAACCGAAAGAGACAACAGGGAAUAUUUCCCACUCAACUAAGCAUAUCUAAAAGCACAUUUGAAGUUUGGAGACAAUAUUCUGUGUUAUUUUAAGAAAAGAUUCUAUAGCAUUAUUACCUGGUGGUAAGAAAAUAACAUGUAAAAGAAAAGGUAAUAAGAAUAAAAAAAAUAAGUAAAAGUAUGUGAACAUGCUAGACCUG